rnacentral:rRNA from 1 species
AUACGUAGGUGGCGAGCGUUGUCCGGAUUUACUGGGUGUAAAGGGUGCGUAGGCGGGAUUGCAAGUCAGGCGUGAAAUGCAUCGGCUUAACUGAUGAGGUGCGCUUGAAACUGCAGUUCUUGAGUGAAGUAGAGGCAGGCGGAAUUCCGAGUGUAGCGGUGAAAUGCGUAGAUAUUCGGAGGAACACCAGUGGCGAAGGCGGCCUGCUGGGCUUUUACUGACGCUGAGGCACGAAAGCAUGGGUAGCAAACAGGAUUAGAUACCCUGGUAGUCCAUGCCGUAAACGAUGAUUACUAGGUGUGGGGGGUCUGACCCCCUCCGUGCCGUAGUUAACACAAUAAGUAAUCCACCUGGGGAGUACGACCGCAAGGUUAAA